rnacentral:rRNA from 1 species
GACGAACGCUGGCGGCGUGCUUAACACAUGCAAGUCGAACGGUGAAAGCGGAGCUUGCCCCGCUGGAUCAGUGGCGAACGGGUGUGUAACACGUGGGCAACCUGCCCCUCACUUCGGGAUAACCCCGGGAAAACGGGGGUUAUUCCGGCUAUGCCCCCCUAGGCCAACUAUGGAGGUGGAAAGGCUUUCGGUGAGGGAUGGGUCCGCGGCCUAUCAGCUUGUUGGUGGGGUAGUGGCUCACCAAGGCGACGACGGGGAGCCGGCCUGAGAGGGCGACCGGCCACACUGGGACUGAGACACGGCCCAGACUCCUACGGGAGGCAGCAGUGGGGAAUAUUGCGCAAUGGGCGAAAGCCUGACUCAGCAACGCCGCGUGCGGGAUGACGGCCUUCGGGUUGUAAACCGCUUUCAGCAGGGAAGAAGCCGCAAGGUGACGGUACCUGCAGAAGAAGCACCGGCUAACUACGUGCCAGCCGCCGCCGUAA